AUAGAAAUGGCAAGUAAGUAGGACAACUGAAUCCAGAAUGGAUGAACAUUCAACGUGAAAAAUCGAUAGAGGAAAAGAAUUGAAUCAGCAACAUAUCUACUGAUGCGACUGAAGCUAUGCAACUUGAUAUGGAUGAAAUCGUGGUCAAGAGUUGGUGCAUGUGCAACUGAAGGAAUGUGGCCGAAAUGAAAUGACCAAUCAGGAGGGACCUUCAAUAAUUGCAAUGCUACUAUGCUAUAUUAGUGCUCAAUCCCAUGAUCAGAGCAUAAUCUGUUUGCAGGUCAAAGAGACAUGGAUAUAUAGAGAAGAUUAAUGCCAAGGUUGCUUCCGUGCAGUUGGCCGGUAUUUCUGUAGAGCUCACGGCAGCCGGUCGGUGAGACUCUGAGAGAUUGUAAGAUGCACAUGUGUCAGUCUUCAGUCUGCGGCUGGCUAGUCUCAGACAAAUGUACCCCUGUUUAUGGUUCUGCAAGUUAUUUGACUGUACAUCGACCAAUCAAGUUCUCUGAAUUUUACUGAUGCAAAUUCUGCGUGUUCUGAUAUUCUUUUGGUAACCACAUUCAGUGAAUACUCUCCCCAUUGCAUCCGUUA